rnacentral:tRNA from 2 species
CGCCGGGCGGCCGGGGUCCGCGGCGGCGAGCUCGGCCGCGGCGAGCAGGGCGCACACGUCGUCGACGAUCGACUCGCUGCUCGGCGUC